UGGGGAAUUUUGCACAAUGGGGAAAACCCUGAUGCAGCGACGCCGCGUGAUUUAGAAGGCCUUCGGGUUGUAAAAAUCUUUUCUAUGGGAAGAAAAUGACAGUACCAUAGGAAUAAGGACCGGCUAAUUACGUGCCAGCAGCCGCGGUAAUACGUAAGGUCCGAGCGUUGUCCGGAAUCAUUGGGCGUAAAGGGUACGUAGGCGGGUAAGCAAGUUAGAAGUGAAAUCCUAUAGCUCAACUAUAGUAAGCUUUUAAAACUGCUCAUCUUGAGGUAUGGAAGGGAAAGUGGAAUUCCUAGUGUAGCGGUGAAAUGCGCAGAUAUUAGGAGGAAUACCGGUGGCGAAGGCGACUUUCUGGCCAGAACCUGACGCUGAGGUACGAAAGCGUGGGUAGCAAACAGG
rnacentral:rRNA from 1 species